rnacentral:lncRNA from 1 species
AAUCCGGGCCGUAACAAUAUUUAAGGCUAAAUUAUAGAAAAACUUUCUAUUAAUACACGCUUUUUUACUUUUUCUCUUUUCAUUAAAAAAUUUACACUUUACCCCCCUAAAAAAUAAAAAAAAGUUCACAUGAGGUACGCUAUGACAAAAUAACCAAAUUGUCCCUCAUCUUCUUCGAGGUGACUGUGGACGGAGAGGUGGGUGAGAGCGAGGCCACGAGGAUGAGGCGGUAGAGGCGAGCAAGGGUGUGUGUGCGGCCAUAGACAAAAAGGUGGACGAGGGUGAGGCGGUGGAGGGCGAGGCGGCGCGGCCGAGGGUGAGGCGGCGGAGGGCGAGGCGGCGUGGCCGAGGGUGAGACGGCGCGAUCAAGGAUGAAAAAGGAAGAGGAUUUCAUGGGUAUUUUGGGCAUAAGAAAUAGGAUAUAAACGGACCCUAACGGAAUACUGAUGGUAGGGGUCAAAGUGAAUGUUUUUUAUUUUUUAAGAGGUAAAGUAUAGGUUUUUGAAUGAUAGGGGGAAAGUAACAAAAGUGGGUAUUGACAGGAAGGUUUUCUGUAAUUCAGCCUAUAUUUAAUUCUAUAAUAUAAAAAUAUCUUAGUAUUUUAAUUAGGAUAAAUUUUAACUUGGCCUAUAUGAUUUAACUAUUUUUACUUUGCCACCAUGUGAUUCAAAAUAUUGCACUUAACUACCCUACAAGACAUUACAAGGGAAACCACUGUAUAGUUAAAUAAGUGUAACUUUUUUGAACAAUAAGACGGGAAAGCAAAAAUAAACUAAAUCACAGGGAGGCAAAUUAAAAUUUACCCUUUCAAUUAAAUUAGACUAGAUAAGACUAGAAUGUGGGGUGAUCCUAUGGAAAACUUCAACUACCACCCAUAUGGCUUCGCACUUUCUCAAUUUAGUACUCUGUGGUUUAAAGUGUAUCACUUUCGUACCUUGUGAUUUUAUUUUUUUUCUUUUUGUUAUCCUCUCCACUAAUUUUUUUCGUUAAAUCGGUGACAAAAUUAAAACUAAAGGGCACUAAAAUGAACAUUCGAUAAAAUUAUAGGUGGGGUAUCAGAAGUUUUUUUGUAUAUAAUUUAACGAAAAGUUAACAGAGAGACAGACAAAAAAAAAAAAAAGAAACCAAAGGGUACUAAAUUGAUACAUGUUAAACCACAUGAUACUAAAGUGAGAAAGUGCGAAACUACAUUGGUGGUAUUUGAAAUUUACUCAAAAAAAAUAUAUAGAGAUAUGCUAGAAAAAGAUAAAAGCAUGUUUCGAAAUAAUAAAUUUAUUCGGAUCAGAUAGGUUUAGUGUUCCAUUGUUAUUUAGACUAGAUUUGUGCUAUAAAUGUAUAAAUUUUUUACUGAAUUUCAACUAAGAUGAAUAUAAAUUACAGAAACAAAAUUUAGCUGAUGUCAUUUUUACGAUAUUAUAUACCAAGCCCUUCAAUCAUUAGGUAAAUAAUAUUGAACAAAUCAUAAAACGUAUUUUUAAGAUAUUUCAGAUAUUAUAAAUCAAGUCUAAUAAACCCGAUCAUUGAUUCAAAAGUUUUAGUAUCGAGAUAGCACGAAAAUUACCGCACUUUUAAAAGCACACAAGUUGGACUCUCUCUUUAUACUAGUGAAGAGGCCCGCACUUUGCAGCAGAUAAAAACCCUAAUAGUAAUUAAUAAUAAUAAAAUAUUAAAUAUUCUCUUAUGUAUCUCAUUUGGUACAUCUACCAAAAAUAUCUCACUGUAGGCUGCAGAUAUAAACCCGACGAUGCCUUCUCCGGCGAUGGUGAUAGUGACGGCGACGACGAUCUCUCCGAUAGCGGCAGAAGAAGGAAUUGGGCGCACAUUAGUGAGAGAGAGAGGGAGUGAGGGAAGGAGGCGAUGAUGUAUAACUAAAGAUGAGAAAUAAAGAAUUGAUGAACAAAUCGAAGAUAAAGGAUUGAAAGUUCAGUGGAAGAAGGAAAAUGGGCCAUGAUGAAUAAUUGGAGAUAGAGGUUAGGAUCGUAGAUAGUAGUAGGACCAUUUAAAUAUAUUAAUUGAAAGUUUGGUAGUGGAACCAUUUACAUUAAUUGAAAGUAUAGUGGAGGGAAGGUAGUGGGACCAUUUAAAUGUACUAAUUGAAAGUUUGAUUAAUGAGACCGUUAAAAUGUAUAUUGAAAAUUUAGUGAACAUGAUGAAUAAUUGGAUAUAGAGAGAUUGGGAUCGUAGAUAGUAGUAGGACCAUUUAAAUAUACUAAUUGAAAGUUUAGUAGUGAAACCAUUUAUAUUAAUUGAAAAUAUAGUGGAGGAAAGAUAAUGGGACCAUUUAAAUGCACUAAUUAAAAGUUUGGUUAAUGGACCAUUAAAAUGCAUAUUGAAAAUUUAGUGAUGGAAAGAAGAAGAGUUACAUUAGUGAGGGUGAAGAAAAACUUGCCACGUGGCAAUAAAUAUUGAGGAUUCAUAUAGUUUAAUAGAUAAUAGAUAUUGGACUUUUC